rnacentral:rRNA from 1 species
GAUGAACGCUGGCGGCGUGCCUAAUACAUGCAAGUCGAGCGAACAGACGAGGAGCUUGCUCCUCUGACGUUAGCGGCGGACGGGUGAGUAACACGUGGAUAACCUACCUAUAAGACUGGGAUAACUUCGGGAAACCGGAGCUAAUACCGGAUAACAUGUUGAACCGCAUGGUUCAACAGUGAAAGACGGUUUGCUGUCACUUAUAGAUGGAUCCGCGCCGCAUUAGCUAGUUGGUAAGGUAACGGCUUACCAAGGCAACGAUGCGUAGCCGACCUGAGAGGGUGAUCGGCCACACUGGAACUGAGACACGGUCCAGACUCCUACGGGAGGCAGCAGUAGGGAAUCUUCCGCAAUGGGCGAAAGCCUGACGGAGCAACGCCGCGUGAGUGAAGAAGGUCUUCGGAUCGUAAAACUCUGUUAUUAGGGAAGAACAAAUGUGUAAGUAACUAUGCACGUCUUGACGGUACCUAAUCAGAAAGCCACGGCUAACUACGUG